UGGGGAAUUUUGGACAAUGGGCGAAAGCCUGAUCCAGCAAUGCCGCGUGUGUGAAGAAGGCCUUCGGGUUGUAAAGCACUUUUGUCCGGAAAGAAAUCCUUGGCUCCAAUACAGUCGGGGGAUGACGGUACCGGAAGGAUAAGCACCGGCUAACUACGUGCCAGCAGCCGCGGUAAUACGUAGGGUGCAAGCGUUAAUCGGAAUUACUGGGCGUAAAGCGUGCGCAGGCGGUUUGCUAAGACCGAUGUGAAAUCCCCGGGCUCAACCUGGGAACUGCAUUGGUGACUGGCAGGCUAGAGUAUGGCAGAGGGGGGUAGAAUUCCACGUGUAGCAGUGAAAUGCGUAGAGAUGUGGAGGAAUACCGAUGGCGAAGGCAGCCCCCUGGGCCAAUACUGACGCUCAUGCACGAAAGCGUGGGGAGCAAACAGGAUUAGAUACCCUGGUAGUCCACGCCCUAAAACGAUGUCAACUAGUUGUUGGGGAUUCAUUUCCUUAGUAACGUAGCUAACGCGUGAAGUUGACCGCCUGGGGAGUACGGUCGCAAGAUUAAAACUUAAAUGAAUUGACGGGGUCAUAGCUGUUUCCU
rnacentral:rRNA from 1 species